GUUUCCAUGGAUCCCGCUCCCAUUUCCCUCUGAUGAUUAAUGGGGAGCAUCCAAUAUGGAGGCACUUAUGCCAAGAUGCCUGUAGCUAUCUUGUCAGCUAGCAAGCCUGCAGCCUCCUGGACCAGCAGACGAGCCUGUGAGCAUCAGCACAUAUUAGAGAUGGAGGCAGGACUGACUGUACACAGAGAGAGACCACAGUACCAAACUUUCCUCCAGUGAAGUGGAGGCUAGGAUCAAACCUGGGUCAGGCGCAUGGCAAAACAGCACACUAUUCAAGAAAUUGAGAAACAGAGUUGAAUAAGACCUGGUCUUCAUGCCACCCAGCCAUCACCCAGGAAGUUUGCAGCCUAAGAAGACAGAAGUAGCCCUCCAAGAGGAACUCACAGCAAGUUGAAGAUGCUACCAUGACGCCAACCUGACUUCACUGGAUAGUCAACCUCACCAAUGUGCCCUGGAAUUCCACUUCCCCAGAUCCCUGCCCCAUUAGGGAGAGAAAGACAGGCUAGGAAUAUGGAUUGACCUGUCAAUGCCCAUGUUCAACGGAGAAGCAAUUACAGAAACCAGACCUCCCACCUUCUAUACCCCAUAAUGAUCCUGGGUCCAUACUCCUAGAGGGAUAAAGAAUAGGAAAGCUUCCAGUAGAAGGGAUGGGAUAUGGAACUCUGGUGGUGGAAAUUGUGUGGAAUUAUAUCCCUCUUA